rnacentral:lncRNA from 1 species
UUAGAGGAAGAGUGAGUUAGAGAGAAAUUCUUGUGGGUCUUGAGUUGAUUGUAAACCUUGUGUUGGAUAAUCAAUAGAAGACCCGAUUGAAAGUGAUUGUUUCGUGUUUGUCAUCUUUAUUCUUGUUUCUGUUUGUUGGAUUGAUCAAGGGGAUUCCGCACCCUUGGUUGAUUAUCAAUCUCGUUACGAUCCAUACGGGAUAGGGACCUACAAUUGGUAUCAGAGCUUUUGCUCUUAGUUGUUUGGUUCGAGAUUGAUAUGGAUUCAAGAUCUUCGAAGAAAAGAUUUUUUUUGGGUUUGCAUGUUUCAGAAGUGAAAAAGUUGUGUUAUUGUUAAGGGAAAUUUUUUCGAAAUUAUCAAGAAGUUGUUUGUGUUCUUCGGGAUUUAAGUCACAGUUCAUCAAGAAUUCAAAAAUUUUUAAUAACUUGCUUUUCAGAUCUUGAUGAAAAGUGUUACAAGAUAAUUACAGUUUAAUAUAUAUAUAUAUAUAUAAUCGGGAUAUCUUGUUUUCCAAAAUUGACGAAAUCACAAAAAUUCGGGAUAUCUUAAAGCAAAAUAUUUCUUUUGAAUUUUAAAUUAUGAAAAAACUGUUGGUACCAGGUCUCUCUUUCUCUCACUAUAACUCACGAAUCAGAAGCUUUUAUUGUAACUGGGAACAAUGUGACUUGUGUAUGUAGAGAUAUACAGAAAGAUGAAAGAGAUAUUUGCAAAGGGAAAAAGCUACAUUUAUUCAAUAAACUAGUUGGCUAUAUAUAGCCUCAAACUCAACAAACUCACCCUAAAACUAGACCCACUAUUUAACCCAUGUGCAGUUCCACAACGUACACAUCCAACAUAUUCGGUCAAAGUGGAUACCAAGUCAUCCUAAUAAAUUCAAAACAAACUAAACUAAUUAUUAAUAAAAACCAACUAACAAAACUAAAUAAUAAUAACCAAAUAAGUCAAGAUUAAAACCCAACAAAAACGUCCCUGUCAUCACAAGUUACUAUUUUGAGUGCAGGUUUCUAUUUUGAGUUGCCAUCAUCAACUUAAUCAAGGUUUCGAGUUGGAGUUCUCGAGUCAGCCAUCUUCACUACGAGUCGCAACCAUUCCAUUCUCUUUACAACUUCACAACGGUCUCGACUCAUCAAUAACUUUCAAGGUCUCGACUCAUCUUCACCCUGGUCUCAACUUCCACGUUUUUGAGUCGCAACCAAAGUCAUCAUCUUCAUUAUGAUCUCGAGUCAACAUCUUCUGCUCUCGAGUCAUCAACAUUCUCCUGGUCUCGAGUCAGUCACAAGGUUUCAAGUUCACAACCGGUUUCGACUCAACUGUUUUGUUCCGAGUCAUCAGCGCAUCUGGUCUUGAGUUAUCAAGGUCUCGACUCCACGGUCUCGACUCAUCCUCUACGGACUCGACUCAUCACGGUUCCGAGUCCGAGUCGCAACCUCCACAGUUCUCGAGUCAGCCAUAUUCUUCUCGAGUCGCAACCACUAUUUCGACUCACAACUUUACGGUUUCGAGUUCAACAUCACAGAGGUCUCGAGGGAUUCAUCAUCCACGGUCUCGACUCCCUUCAAGAGAGGUCUCGAGUCAGCUGUUUCGAGUUCUCGAGUCGCAAACGUUUCGGUUCCGAGUCACCGCAUUCGUUCCGAGACAAAGGUGUCGAGUGGUGAUUUCUCGAGUCCACAACCUCUGUUCAUCUUCUUCGUAUCAGGUUGUCACUCAACAUCGUCCUUCAUCCUUCGACAAUCUCCGAUCACCACUUUCAUCGGUCGUCCUUCUUACACCAACCUCCACCAUCCGCUGAUCACCAUUAACAUCGGACACCACCUGCAACUCCUACAAUCAUCACCAUUAUCACUUCCGGCGAUCACCAUCUUCAGUCGUCGUCACCUCUUCAACCUAUCACCGUCACUGUCAUUCUUCUCCGGCGACAACCACUUCACCGUCGUCAUCGUCAUUCAUCUCCGGUCUAACCAUAAUCACCUACAAAAUCAAGAAAGGUCAUUGGCGGCUGUUAUUUUAAAUUUAGGGUUUCGGUGGUUGUUUUGAUCGAAGAAGACGAAGCAGAAUUGACGUUACAAUUUUUUU